rnacentral:rRNA from 1 species
UGGGGAAUAUUGGACAAUGGGGGCAACCCUGAUCCAGCAAUGCCACGUGUGCGAAGAAGGCCUUAGGGUUGUAAAGCACUUUAGUGGGGGAGGAAGGAUGAUGUGUUAAUACCACAUUAUUUUGACAGUACCCCAAGAAUAAGCACCGGCAAACUCUGUGCCAGCAGCCGCGGUAAUACAGAGGGUGCAAGCGUUAAUCGGAAUUAUUGGGCGUAAAGGGCUUGUAGGUGGUUGUAUAAGUUAGAUGUGAAAACCCUGGGCUUAACCUGGGACGUGCAUUUAAUACUGUAUAACUAGAGUAUAGUAGAGGAAAGGGGAAUUCCUGGUGUAGCAGUGAAAUGCGUAGAGAUCAGGAGGAACAUCGGUGGCGAAGGCGCCUUUCUGGACUAAUACUGACACU